UACGUAGGGUGCAAGCGUUUGUCCGGAAUUAUUGGGCGUAAAGAGCUCGUAGGCGGUCUGUCGCGUCUGCUGUGAAAACUCGGGGCUUAACCCCGGGCCUGCAGUGGGUACGGGCAGACUAGAGUGCGGUAGGGGAGACUGGAAUUCCUGGUGUAGCGGUGAAAUGCGCAGAUAUCAGGAGGAACACCGAUGGCGAAGGCAGGUCUCUGGGCCGACACUGACGCUGGAGGAGCGAAAGCGUGGGGAGCGAA
rnacentral:rRNA from 1 species